rnacentral:rRNA from 1 species
AGAGUUUGAUCCUGGCUCAGGAUGAACGCUGGCGGUAUGCUUAACACAUGCAAGUCGAACGGAGUACUUCGGUACUUAGUGGCGGACGGGUGAGUAACGCGUGAGAAUCUGCCUUCAGGUUCGGGACAACCACUGGAAACGGUGGCUAAUACCGAAUGUGCAGCAAUGUGAAAUAUUUAUAGCCUGAAGAUGAGCUCGCGUCUGAUUAGCUAGUAGGUGUGGUAAGAGCGCACCUAGGCGACGAUCAGUAGCUGGUCUGAGAGGAUGAUCAGCCACACUGGGACUGAGACACGGCCCAGACUCCUACGGGAGGCAGCAGUGGGGAAUUUUCCGCAAUGGGCGAAAGCCUGACGGAGCAAUACCGCGUGAGGGAGGAAGGCUCUUGGAUUGUAAACCUCUUUUCUCAGGGAAGAAAAAAAUGACGGUACCUGAGGAAUAAGCAUCGGCUAACUCCGUGCCAGCAGCCGCGGUAAUACGGAGGAUGCAAGCGUUAUCCGGAAUGAUUGGGCGUAAAGCGUCCGCAGGUGGCUAUGUAAGUCUGCUGUUAAAGAGUCUGGCUCAACCAGAUAAAGGCAGUGGAAACUACAUGGCUAGAGUGCGUUCGGGGCAGAGGGAAUUCCUGGUGUAGCGGUGAAAUGCGUAGAGAUCAGGAAGAACACCGGUGGCGAAAGCGCUCUGCUAGGCCGCAACUGACACUGAGGGACGAAAGCUAGGGGAGCGAAUGGGAUUAGAUACCCCAGUAGUCCUAGCCGUAAACGAUGGAUACUAGGCGUGGCUUGUAUCGACCCGAGCCGUGCCGUAGCUAACGCGUUAAGUAUCCCGCCUGGGGAGUACGCAGGCAACUGUGAAACUCAAAGGAAUUGACGGGGGCCCGCACAAGCGGUGGAGUAUGUGGUUUAAUUCGAUGCAACGCGAAGAACCUUACCAGGACUUGACAUGUCGCGAAUCUUUGUGAAAGCAGAGAGUGCCUUCGGGAGCGCGAACACAGGUGGUGCAUGGCUGUCGUCAGCUCGUGUCGUGAGAUGUUGGGUUAAGUCCCGCAACGAGCGCAACCCUCGUUUUUAGUUGCCAGCAUUAAGUUGGGCACUCUAGAGAGACUGCCGGUGACAAACCGGAGGAAGGUGGGGAUGACGUCAAGUCAGCAUGCCCCUUACGUUCUGGGCUACACACGUACUACAAUGCUACGGACAAAGGGCAGCAAGCAUGCGAAUGCAAGCUAAUCUCAUAAACCGUGGCUCAGUUCAGAUCGCAGGCUGCAACUCGCCUGCGUGAAGGAGGAAUCGCUAGUAAUUGCAGGUCAGCAUACUGCAGUGAAUUCGUUCCCGGGCCUUGUACACACCGCCCGUCACACCAUGGAAGCUGGUAGUGCCCGAAGUCAUUACCCCAACCGCUUGCGGAGGGGGAUGCCUAAGGCAGGACUGGUGACUGGGGUGAAGUCGUAACAAGGUAGCCGUACCGGAAGGUGUGGCUGGAUCACCUCCU